rnacentral:tRNA from 1 species
UGUCUAAUAUUCUAUUAAAGUGAUUUUAAAUUGCAAAUUUAAAGGAGAAUAAAAUUCUUAGACUU